UCCUGAGGCCCCGACUUCAUGUGAAGAGUUAGUGUGCAGUUUUGGAGCCACUUGCAUUGAAGUGGACAACCAAGCCCACUGCGAGUGCCCUUCACCUGACUGUGACGAGAAAAACAAAACCAAGGUGUGUGGCUCAGACGGGGUGACCUAUGCCGACCAGUGCCAGCUGAGGACCAUAGCCUGUAGACAGGACAAGGACAUCACAGUGCUACACUUCGGACAGUGCACAG